rnacentral:rRNA from 1 species
UACGGGGGGAGCAAGCGUUGUUCGGAUUUACUGGGCGUAAAGGGCGCGUAGGCGGCCACCGCAAGUCAGUUGUGAAAGCUCUGGGCUUAACCCAGAAAGGUCAACUGAUACUGCGGGGCUAGAGUGCAGAAGGGGCAACUGGAAUUCUCGGUGUAGCGGUGAAAUGCGUAGAGAUCGGAAAGAACACCAACGGCGAAAGCACUCUGCUGGGCCGACACUGACACUGAGAGACGAAAGCUAGGGGAGCGAAUGGG